UAUUAAGUGGCUGAAAUUUUAAGUAAUGGUCUCUUAAACCAAAAUAUAGUAAUAAAUACUCUUAAUAA
rnacentral:tRNA from 2 species